GGGGUGUAUUUAUUAGAUAAAAAACCAAUGCCCUUCGGGGCUCCUUGGUGAUUCAUGAUAACUUAACGAAUCGCAUGGCCUUGUGCCGGCGAUGGUUCAUUCAAAUUUCUGCCCUAUCAACUUUCGAUGGUAGGAUAGUGGCCUACCAUGGUUUCAACGGGUAACGGGGAAUUAGGGUUCUAUUCCGGAGAGGGAGCCUGAGAAACGGCUACCACAUCCAAGGAAGGCAGCAGGCGCGCAAAUUACCCAAUCCCGACACGGGGAGGUAGUGACAAUAAAUACUGAUACAGGGCUCUUUUGGGUCUUGUAAUUGGAAUGAGUACAAUUUAAAUCCCUUAACGAGGAACAAUUGGAGGGCAAGUCUGGUGCCAGCAGCCGCGGUAAUUCCAGCUCCAAUAGCGUAUAUUAAAGUUGUUGCAGUUAAAAAGCUCGUAGUUGAACCUUGGGUCUGGCUGGCCGGUCCGCCUCACCGCGUGCACUGGUCCGGCCGGACCUUUCCUUCUGGGGAGA
rnacentral:rRNA from 1 species